AUGGCGAGCAGCUUCAGUUGCUCGGAACGUACGAAACUGACAUGGAUGUUGGCGCUGCUGCUCAUCUUGGUCAUGAUGCUUCGAGUCGAUGGCCAAUCUGGGUUCCUAAGCGUCGACUGUGGAUGGACAGGCAGUGCAGGUAGCACCUACAACGACAGCGCCACAGGACUACCGUAUGAUUCUGACGGAAAAUUUAUGGAAGGCGGUUUGAGCUCCAAAAUUUCUGCAGAGUUCAUUGCUGAUGCAGGGAACGAGCAACAAAAAACGCUGAGGAGCUUCCCUGACGGCAAACGGAACUGCUAUACGCUGCCAUCCGCCAUCGGUAAGAAGUUUCUGCUGAGGGCCAUGUUCAGUUACGGAAACUAUGAUGGGUUGAACAGGAGUAUGGACGGCUCGCCGUUCAUAUUUGGGCUGCAUAUCGGCGUCAAUUUCUGGGAGACAGUGAACUUGACAAAUUUAGAUCCAUCGCUCACAUUAUGGAAAGAGGUGCUCACCAUGGCUCCGGCCAACCUCCUGUCGUUCUGUCUGAUAAACUUGGGUUCAGGGACUCCGUUCGUGUCUUCAUUGGAGCUGAGGCCACUAGGAGAUGCAAUGUACCCUUUUCUGAGUACUUAUGUGUCUGUCAGCUACUUGAGACGGUUCAGAUUUGGGGACGCCGCUGAGUAUAUCACAAGAUAUCCAGUGGACAAUUACGACCGGUUCUGGGCGGGUUGGUCUUUCUCUUUCAACACCUACCCCUGGAUCAGCCUGAACACUAGCAAACCAGUGAACAGGCUCAACAGCAUUGACGUCUUCCAAGUACCGGAGGUCAUCCUCCAGAAAGCCACGACCCUGGAUACAAACUACUCCUUUAUGGAAGUUAGCGUGGAAGUCGGUAGCAACCUGGACAUCAGGGGCAUGGAGCUUCUCCCGAUAUUCCAUUUCACUGAGAUAGCUGGCGACAUCCCAAACAGGACGUUCAAUGUCUACAGCGCAGACGAGUUGCUGUUCCAGGACGUGUCCCUGUCGCCGAUGCGGGUAGAGAGCAUGUACCCGACGAAUCGGUUCUUGACGAAUCGGUUCCUGAGCGGGUCCAACACUACGUCCUUCAUGCUGCGCAAGGUCCCCGGCUCGAAGCUCCCGCCGCUCAUCAAUGCGCUUGAGGUGUACUCGAUUGUUCGGACGGACAACCUCACCACUUCCUCCGAGGACGUCAAUUACAUGAAAGAGGUGAAAAAACACUACAAUUUGGGAAGAAACUGGAAUGGAGAUCCAUGCUCCCCAAGAGAGUAUACCUGGGAAGGUUUGACUUGCGACUAUUCGAAUGGCAACCAGAAUCCGAGGAUUGUCCGAGUAAAUAUGUCUACGAGCAAACUAAGAGGUGUAUUAGCUAUAUCAUUCUUCAUGAUGGCAUCACUGGAAAAUUUGGAUUUAUCUCACAACAACUUGACGGGCACUAUUCCAAACUAUGAACUAAAGUCACUAAAAGUCCUCAAUUUGUCUUAUAACCAGCUUGACGGACCAAUCCCUAAUUCCAUUGUUCAAAGAUUUCAGGCCGGCCUACUUGACUUAAGACUAGAAGGCAAUCCCAUUUGCUCAAAAGGAAAAUACAUGUAUUGUUCAAAUACGAAGAACUCCAAACAUGUCAUGCUCACUGCAGUCAUAGUUCCAGUGGUAUUGGUAUCACUCCUAGUUGUGUUGGGCGUAUUAUGGAAGGUAUGCCAAAAAGGGAACUCAGGAGAUCAUGAGGACUAUGAUAUUUAUGAAGAGGAAACACCCCUACAUAUUGAUAUCAGACGGUUCACUUAUGUAGAGUUGAAGUUCAUCACUAAGGACUUCCAAUCAAUCAUUGGAAAAGGAGGUUUUGGUACUGUUUAUCAUGGCAUACUGGAAAAUGGCGAUGAAGUAGCUGUUAAGGUGCUUAUGGAGACAUCAAUAGCAGAGUCAACAGACUUCCUCCCAGAGGUGCAAACCUUGUCCAAAGUUCAUCACAAGAAUCUCGUGACUUUGGCAGGAUAUUGCCAAAACAAGAAGUGCCUAGCACUCGUUUAUGACUUCAUGCCUAGAGGAAAUCUUCAACAAAUCUUAAGAGGAGGAGAUGACUAUACCUUGAAUUGGGAACAACGACUUUACAUUGCACUUGAUGCUGCACAAGGAUUGGAGUAUUUACACGAGUCAUGCACCCCAUCAGUAGUUCACAGAGAUGUGAAGACCCCCAACAUCCUUCUAGAUAAGAAUCUGGUUGGGAUAAUAUCUGACUUUGGUCUUUCAAGGGCAUUUAAUGAUGCUCACACACACAUAUCUACUGUUGCUGCUGGCACUCUUGGCUACCUCGACCCAGAGUACCAUGCAACUUUCCAGCUCACAGUCAAGACAGACGUUUAUAGUUUUGGCAUCGUACUCUUGGAGAUCAUCACUGGCCAACCCCCGGUAUUGGUGAACCCUCAAACCAUCCAUCUACCAAACUGGAUUCGUCAAAAGAUUGCUACAGGUAGUAUUCACGAUGUUGUCGACAAGAGGUUAUUGGAUCAAUAUGAUGCUAGUUCCCUGCAGAGUGUGGUAGACCUUGCCAUGAUGUGUGUCGAAAACGCAACCAUCGACAGACCGACAAUGAUUGAGGUUGUUUCAAGGCUCAAAGCAUGCUUGCCGGAAGUUCCAAGGCUAUUGCAACCAACGAUUUCAGGAGUUCCGCCAAUAAGCAGUGAGGGGGAUUUCCAGUUUGAUUAUACCGGUCGGAUGUCAAACACAAGCCUCUUAUCUGGCAGGUGA
rnacentral:rRNA from 1 species